rnacentral:rRNA from 1 species
UACGUAGGGUGCGAGCGUUGUCCGGAAUUAUUGGGCGUAAAGAGCUCGUAGGCGGUGUGUCACGUCGGCCGUGAAAACCUGGGGCUCAACUCUGGGCGUGCGGUCGAUACGGGCAUCACUUGAGUUCGGCAGGGGAGACUGGAAUUCCUGGUGUAGCGGUGAAAUGCGCAGAUAUCAGGAGGAACACCGGUGGCGAAGGCGGGUCUCUGGGCCGAUACUGACGCUGAGGAGCGAAAGCAUGGGUAGCAAACAGG